rnacentral:misc_RNA from 1 species
AUUACAUUGUUGAGUGGGAAAUUACAACUAUCAGGUACGUUACAUGUAACUUGGUGUUUGGUGGGUGCAUAUUAGGCGUAGUCUACAAUAACCUUGUAUUGCACAAUUCGCAAAUUGAAAAAUAUUUUCUAUUUUCUUUAAUUCUGAUAAACCGACCUUUAUUGUAAUAAUCAUGAGAAGGUCUUCCUCCUAUAGUUGACAUUUUCACUAAAAAACCAUAAGUUUUUUUUGUUGAUCGUUAUAACGGUUAUCCUUGCAGGCACCCUAAUAGAUUUUCUACCUAAAUAGGUGUUUUAUGCAGCAAAAAACCUCGCUUCGUUAUCUGCGCAGAUUACUUAGUUUUCUGCGCAUACAUUUCUGCACAUAAAACGUGAGGUAUUAUGCGUACCCAACCCUGGUGUAGCGGCGCGUGAAUCGGCGCGGUCGUCGGCGCGGUGCCCGGUAUUAGCUGUUCGACGCAUCAGCUGAUCGGUCGAUGCUAUCGUCACAGUAUACAGUAGCGCAACUCUCUUUAAUAUGUGAAGCCAAUACAACGCGCAUGCGCAAGUUGAGACCCUUCAUAAUGUUUCAAAUGUUUAGAAAUUGACAGCAAUUCUAUAGCUUGCAUAUCGGUACUAUCUGAAAAGUUAUUUUAUAUAUUAUAAAAUAUAUGAUAUUUAUAUAAAAUGAAAUAAAAUUAAAACAAUAAAGUGAAGUGAAGUGUAGUGAGUGAAAGAAAUGAAGUGUAAAGCGUAAAAGUGAUGUGAAUUAAGUGAAGUGAAGUAAAAGGAAAGUGACAUUUAUAUAGCACAGAUUUUUAUUUCUCUUGCAGAAAACACUUUGAUCUUAGCUCUGUUUCAGGUUCAAGAAAAAAACAGAAUUUAGCAAGAAAAUGAGUGGACAAAAUAUUAAAAAGUGUUCAAUAAGAGGUUGUCCUGGAAAUCUGAAACUGGAAAGAAGACAUGUAUUUAGAUUCCCAAAGGAACAUGACAGAUACCAUGGUUGCAAUGGAUACGAUCUAGUGGACGACUGGAUUUGGAAGAAAAAGGUCCCGAAUAUUCUUCUAAAAAUUGUCGAUUGUGUUCACUACAUUUUGAGGAAAAAUGGUUCAAAAUUAGUAACAGAAGAAUUCUUCUUUAUCUUAAUGCCGUUCCUAUAAGAUUUGGAAAAGAUUUAGAAUCAUUUUCAAAAAUGUAAUGUUAUUUUAUUCACUUUAGAUUAUUAUCUCACACACACACACACACACACACACACACGCGCGCGCGCACAACACCUUUAGCUUACUUUUUAGUUACUUUUAAAUGUCAAGUUAUGUAAGUAUCCAGGCAGAACACAUAUCUAAACUUAGAAUAUAAGAUGUUAAAAAUAUUACUUUAAGAUCUUUUAAAUAUACGAUGUAUUACUGAUUUAAUAAUACAUUACAUUAUUUGUAAUAUUUUUGCAGUAAAGUAGAAGAAAGUAGAACAGAUACAGAAGCAGAAAAAGACAAAGAAAUUGAAGAAACAAUACAACAGCAAACAUGUUCUGCAACAGAAAAAGAAAAUAGAAAAGGAACUGAUAAAAAAAAUAUUAAUAUAGAAAAGGAAAUAAUGGAUGUCUGUAAUAAAGGAAAGAAGAUGGAUGUUAAGAAGAUGGAUGUUUGUAAGAUAAUACCAAGUACAACAAUGCUAAAACCAACGAUGACAUCGAAGAAAAAAAACAGCCCUACAAAAAAACAGCUACGUACAACCAUAAAGAAGUUGAGAUUAAAACAUAAAAUUUUUCAGCAAAAACUGCGACGUUUUCAAAAAAGAAAAGACAGAACGAUCACCACCAAAGGUCAAGAACAUGUAAAAGAAAAGGUACAGAGUGAAGAAUUAAAAAUUUUAAAAACAUUCGGGAAUAAGUGGUUACCAGAAAAAUUUAGUAUGUUAUUGUCAGUACAAAUAGAUGCGCAAACAAAAAGCAAACGUGAUAUACGAUACAGUAAUAAAUUUAAAAAAUUUGCUCUGUCUAUGUAUUUUUUAAGUUCGCGAAAUUAUAAAGAAUUAAAAAAAUCAUUUACAUUACCUUCUGUGCGUACUUUACAUUCUUUUACAUAUAAUUGAAAUGUUGAACCCGGUAUUAAUAUAAAAAUUUUUGAAGCCUUAAAAAUAAAAUAAAAUUUGUUACCAUUAAUAAAACGACAUUGUAUUUUGUGCGCGGACGAAAUGAGCUUAAAAUCUCAUUUAUUUUACAAUGUCUCACGAGAUGAAAUAAUAGGAUUUCAAGAUGUUGGUGAUAAAAAAUUACCAAUACCUGCAAAAAGUGCGUUUGUUCUUAUGGCACGCAGCAUUGCAGAUAAUUGGAAAGUUCCACUUUGUUAUUGUUUUGUAGCCACUGCUUGUACAAGCGACACGUUGAAAAUUAUUAUUUUUGAUGCAAUAAUGAAACUACAAGAAUGUGGUGCUACUGUGCAUGCAUUAGUUACGGAUAUGGGUUCUAAUUUCUUGCAAUUAUCGCGUGAGUUAGGGAUAUCAAAUGAAAAUUCUACAUUUGUUGUUAAUGAACAAAAUAUAUUGUAUAUUUUUGACACUCCCUAUUUAAUUAAAGCAACACGUAAUAAUUUGUUAAAAUAUGAUUUAAAAUUUAAUGAUAAGUUUGCAUCAUGGUCUCAUAUUGUACAAUUUUAUUCAAAAGAUAAAAAACAAUGGAUUAAAGCAGCUCCUAAGUUAUCUCCAAUUCACAUUGAACCCACUAAUUUUGCAAAAAUGAAAGUUAAAUAUGCCGUACAAGUUUUUAGUAAUCAUGUAGCUGCAGGUAUGUGACACACCUCCCCUCGGGGUAACGAGCGGCCCCAAAUGACCUUUCCCGGUCGGGCCAUUCGGCCCUUGUGACUGACGAAGAACGUCACGUCACAAUAUGUACAAAUUACAAAUUAUUAAUUAUAACAGCUAUAUAUACAUGCAAGAAAGAAACAAAAAUUAAAGGUGUAAAAUAUUCCACAUUUUUCUAUUUUUCUGGUCAACAUUUUUACGUGCUUUAUUAUGUUGUAAAAGUGCAUAAUAAAUGCGCAUGCGAAAAAACAACUUAACAAGAAAUUCUUUAGGAAAGUUAGGACAUGGUGAUUGAAAAUUAAUAUUUUUUAUAAAAGAAAGUAAAUAAGCACCAAUAUUUUUUUUAUAACAAUUACUUUCAAAAUUUUUAAUAAAUAUUUCAUCUAAUUUAUGUAUGUAUAAACAAAAUUGAUUACUCGGAAUAUUUAAAGCUCCAAAAAGUUCUCCAUUUUCAGACCCAUAAUCGCGGAAUGAACAAUAUAAAGUAGUGUCAUCUAAAAUUUAAGUUGUUUCAUUCAUAUAAUCUGUACAUAUUUCACAUGAAUGUAUUGCUAAACAUCGUUUUAUUAAAAAAUCGCAAACGUAUUUAAACGCGUUUUGUUCUGGCAGGUCAAUAGAACAAUAAUCAUGUGUAGGAACAUCUAAAAUUUUAUAUGUGAGUGGUAUAUUAAAGUCGGAAUCUGUAAAAUGAAGAUUUGAUGUUUCCAUAAGAUUUAAUAUUUCAUCAGAAUCUGAAGCACAAUUUUUAGUUUCACAAUUUUCUAAUAAUUUAAUGCUAAAUAGUUUUUUGAAAGCGCGUGCAAACUGUAUAGGAGUUGGAUUAACGGAAUAAUCGCCUUGUUGCCGAAUAGAACCAAAAAAAUUUUCAAGGCAAUCCUGAUUUAUUCUACGAGUUUGUAGAUAUAGAAAGUUAAAAGUUUUCAAUAUUUCCCACAAUUGUAUAAUACUGUUAAUAGUGACCUGCCAGCAUUCAAAACAUUUAAUUUUUAUAUUUUUAUUUUUAUUAAUAAUUCUUAUAUUUUUUAAAAAAUGUAACAUUUCUUGUAAAAAUUCCAAUUGUUUCGUAUUACCAAUAAAAACUUUCCUGUAUUCUUUUGCAGUGACUGUAAAAGAUGAAUUUAAAAUAUCAAACAAUUUAUCGAAACGAUCAAUAAAUUCUACUGUUCCAAUUGCUUCAGAUGAAAGACAACCUACAGACAUUAGUGUACACCAGUGUUGCAAAAAUUUAAUUCCUUUUUAGACUUAAUUCACAAAUAAUUAAAAAUUCCGAAAGGGCUUGUGAAUUAAAAGUGAGUUUAAUUCAUAAUUCCGAAAAGGCUCGUGAAUUAAAAGUAAGUUUAAUUCACGAUUCCGAAAGGGCUUAUGAAUUAAAAGUGAGUUUAAUUCACGAUUCCGAAAAGGCUUGCGAAUUAAAAGUGAGUUUAAUUCACGAUUCCGAAAGGGCUUAUGAAUUAAAAGUGAAUUUAAUUCACGAUUCCGAAAAGGCUUGUGAAUUAAAAGUGAGUUUAAUUCACAAUUCUGAAAGGGCUUGUGAAUUUAGUUUGAAACAAGUCCAGAUGAUUGGAUUCGAAAACAAUGAAUUAAUUCACAGAUGAUUGAUUUAAGUCCCGUGCGAGAAAUGAAUUUAUGUUUAUGAAUUUUUAUUAUUUAUGAGUCAUUUUUAUUCUCCAUAUGUUCUUAAAAAAUAAAAACAGCUAUUGCUGCAAAUUUGCCUUUGUUACAUAUGUUCAACACAUCUUUAAAUCUUAUUUCUAAAUCAUUUGUUGCAUAUAUCUUUUGAAGAGUAUUAUACAAGGAAUUCCAUCUUGUAACGGUGGGUCUUUGAAUGCCGAAUUCUAAAAUUUUAUCCAAAUUUUCUCUUUUUUUAGGAGAUUUUAGAAGCUUCCAUAAAGCUUGGCAUUUAUUCAUAACGUCAUCAUGUAUGGUUUUUACACUUAGAACAUUAUUUAUCGCUUUUCCUGCAUCUACUGAAGCAAUGAGAUUAAGAAUGUGGCUAGCACAUCGAAAAUGACUUGGCAAUGAUUGAUAAUCAUUAAUAGGAAAAUCACAAUCAUACACAGAAAAAAAAUGUAAUACAGCCAAUAACAUAUGUGAUUGCGGGCUGCCAACUACAUAAAAUACUCAAUACAAUAAUAUUUUAUAUUAAUGCAAGUACAAUGUUGAUACUGCAAUAGCAUAUAUUAUUGUAUUGAGUAUAUUUUUAAUUGGCAGCCCGCAAUAACAUAUCUUAUUGAAUAUAUUACUUUUUUUUUCAGUGUAUACUUUAUUUUCCUCCUCCAACAUUUCUUCGUUAUCGAAAUUAGAGUUGAUAUCGAUAGGAACCUCACGAUCAAUUUCUAUUUCUUUUUCUUCGUUGU